rnacentral:rRNA from 1 species
UGGGCUGUUCGCCCAUUAAAGUGGUACGCGAGCUGGGUUCAGAACGUCGUGAGACAGUUCGGUCCCUAUCCGUCGCAGGCGUAGGAAAUUUGAGAAGUCCUGUCCUUAGUACGAGAGGACCGGGAUGGACGUACCUCUGGUGUACCAGUUGUCCUGCCAAGGGCAUGGCUGGGUAGCUAUGUACGGAAUGGAUAAGCGCUGA